CGCGCUGGCGCUGCCCGAAUGUGACCCUGCUCGCGGGUAGACAAAGCAAAUUUUACAAUGAGUAAAAUGAUCCAGUUCAGAGAUAUAGUGAUCACCACAAAACCUCUUUUUUCGCGGAGAUCAGCUGUAGUUCCUAAAUAAAUAUUUUUACUAAUACUAAAUCUUAAAAUACAGUUAAAAGAUGCCAUAAUAUGUGUACACAUUUUUGGAUAAAUAAAUUUAAUAGUUUUUCAGGAA